UAGACCGCCUGGGGAGUACGGCCGCAAGGUUAAAACUCAAAUGAAUUGACGGGGGCCCGCACAAGCGGUGGAGCAUGUGGUUUAAUUCGAUGCAACGCGAAGAACCUUACCUGGUCUUGACAUCCACGGAAGGUCUCAGAGAUGAGACUGUGCCUUCGGGAGCCGUGAGACAGGUGCUGCAUGGCUGUCGUCAGCUCGUGUUGUGAAAUGUUGGGUUAAGUCCCGCAACGAGCGCAACCCUUAUCCUUUGUUGCCAGCGGUUAGGCCGGGAACUCAAAGGAGACUGCCAGUGAUAAACUGGAGGAAGGUGGGGAUGACGUCAAGUCAUCAUGGCCCUUACGACCAGGGCUACACACGUGCUACAAUGGCGCAUACAAAGAGAAGCGACCUCGCGAGAGCAAGCGGACCUCAUAAAGUGCGUCGUAGUCCGGAUUGGAGUCUGCAACUCGACUCCAUGAAGUCGGAAUCGCUAGUAAUCGUGGAUCAGAAUGCCACGGUGAAUACGUUCCCGGGCCUUGUACACACCGCCCGUCACACCAUGGGAGUGGGUUGCAAAAGAAGUAGGUAGCUUAACCUCCGGGAGGGCGC
rnacentral:rRNA from 1 species